rnacentral:rRNA from 1 species
GAUGAACGCUGGCGGCGUGCUUAACACAUGCAAGUCGAACGAGGUCCAACCUUCGGGUGAAGACCUAGUGGCGAACGGGUGAGUAACACGUGGGGAACCUGCCCUUCUCUCUGGGAUAACGUCGAGAAAUCGGUGCUAAUACCGGAUACUCCUUGCGGAUCGCAUGGUCUGCUCGGGAAAGCUUUUGCGGAGAUGGAUGGCCCCGCGGCCCAUUAGCUAGUUGGUGAGGUAACGGCCCACCAAGGCGACGAUGGGUAGCCGAGCUGAGAGGCUGAUCGGCCACACUGGGACUGAGACACGGCCCAGACUCCUACGGGAGGCAGCAGUGGGGAAUUUUGCACAAUGGGCGCAAGCCUGAUGCAGCAACGCCGCGUGCGGGAUGAAGGCCCUCGGGUUGUAAACCGCUUUCAGCAGGGAUGAAACUGACAGUACCUGCAGAAGAAGCCCCGGCUAACUACGUGCCAGCCGCCGCCGUAACAC